CCUACGGGAGGCAGCAGUGGGGGAUAUUGGGCAAUGGGCGCAAGCCUGACCCAGCAACGCCGCGUGAGUGAAGAAGGAUCUCGGGUUGUAAACCUCUAUCAAGAGGGAAGAGCAGAAGACGGUACCUCUUGAAUAAGCCACGGCUAACUACGUGCCAGCAGCCGCGGUAAUACGUAGGUGGCAAGCGUUGUCCGGAUUUACUGGGUGUAAAGGGCGCGCAGCCGGGAAGACAAGUCAGAAGUGAAAUCCCGCGGCUCAACCGCGGAACUGCAUUUGAAACUGUUUUACUGGAGUACCGGAGAGGUGAGCGGAAUUCCUUGUGUAGCGGUGAAAUGCGUAGAUAUAAGGAGGAACACCAGUGGCGAAGGCGGAUGACUGGACGGCAACUGACGGUGAGGCGCGAAAGCGUGGGGAGCAAACAGGAUUAGAUACCCGGGUAGUC
rnacentral:rRNA from 1 species